rnacentral:tRNA from 1 species
UACAUUAUGGUGUAUGGCACGUAAAUUUUUGGGGUUUAAGGUAAAGGUUCAUUUCUUUUUUUGUAA